GAUGAACGCUGGCGGCGUGCCUAAUACAUGCAAGUCGAGCGAACAGAUAAGGAGCUUGCUCCUUUGAAGUUAGCGGCGGACGGGUGAGUAACACGUGGGUAACCUACCUAAAAGACUGGGAUAACUUCGGGAAACCGGAGCUAAUACCGGAUAACAUUUAGAACCGCAUGGUUCUAAAGUGAAAGAUGGUUUUGCUAUCACUUAUAGAUGGACCCGCGCCGUAUUAGCUAGUUGGUAAGGUAACGGCUUACCAAGGCGACGAUACGUAGCCGACCUGAGAGGGUGAUCGGCCACACUGGAACUGAGACACGGUCCAGACUCCUACGGGAGGCAGCAGUAGGGAAUCUUCCGCAAUGGGCGAAAGCCUGACGGAGCAACGCCGCGUGAGUGAUGAAGGGUUUCGGCUCGUAAAACUCUGUUAUUAGGGAAGAACAAAUGUGUAAGUAACUGUGCACAUCUUGACGGUACCUAAUCAGAAAGCCACGGCUAACUACGUG
rnacentral:rRNA from 1 species